AUCAGAAGUGCGAAUGCUGACAUAAGUAACGAUAAAGCGGGUGAAAAGCCCGCUCGCCGGAAGACCAAGGGUUCCUGUCCAACGUUAAUCGGGGCAGGGGGAGUCGACCCCUAAGGCGAGGCCGAAAGGCGUAGUCGAUGGGAAACAGGUUAAUAUUCCUGUACUUGGUGUUACUGCGAAGGGGGGACGGAGAAGGCUAUGUUGGCCGGGCGACGGUUGUCCCGGUUUAAGCGUGUAGGCUGGUUUUCCAGGCAAAUCCGGAAAAUCAAGGCUGAGGCGUGAUGACGAGGCACUACGGUGCUGAAGCAACAAAUGCCCUGCUUCCAGGAAAAGCCUCUAAGCAUCAGGUAACAUCAAA
rnacentral:rRNA from 1 species